rnacentral:tRNA from 1 species
ACCUGGGUGGCUCAGUUGGUUAAGCGUCCGACUUCGGCUCGGGUCAUGAUCUCGCGGUUUGUGGGUUCGAGCCCCACGUCGGGUU